rnacentral:rRNA from 1 species
AAGCCCUGGCAGAGCCGGAAGGCGAGAAAUCGUUAGAAGGCAAUAAAGGGGUAGAGGGGCGACGUUGGUGAGUGGCGGACGGGUGAGUAACACGUAGGUAAUCUGCCUCAAAGUGGGGGAUAACUGUUCGAAAGAGCAGCUAAUACCGCAUGUGAUCCGGUUUAGGAUCGGAGGAAAGGCGCAAGUCGCUUUGAGAUGAGCCUGCGGCCGAUUAGCUAGUUGGUGAGGUAAAGGCCCACCAAGGCGGAGAUCGGUAGCUGGUCUGAGAGGAUGAUCAGCCACACUGGGAUUGAGAACGGCCCAGACUCCUACGGGAGGCAGCAGUAAGGAAUAUUGCACAAUGGGGGAAACCCUGAUGCAGCAACGCCGCGUGGGUGAUGAAGGCUUUCGAGUUGUAAAACCCUUUACUGUGGGAUGAGCAAGGACAGUACCACAGCAACAAGUCUCGGCUAACUACGUGCCAGCAGCCGCGGUGAGACGUAGGAGGCGAGCGUUAUCCGGAUUCACUGGGCGUAAAGGGCAAGUAGGCGGUUGUUCAAGUUGGGCGUGACAGAUCUCGGCUUAACUGAGAAAGGUCGUCCAAUACUGAGCGACUAGAGGGCAGGAGAGGAAAGUGGAACUCCCGAUGUAGCNGUGGAAUGCNCAGAUAUCGGGAAGNANACCAGUGGCGAAGGCGGCUUUCUGGCCUGCACCUGACGCUGAGAGGCGAAAGCUAGGGUAGCAAACGGGCUUAGAUACCCCGGUAGUCCUAGCUGUAAACGUUGGAUACUAGGUAAUGGUGGUCAAGGCCAUCAGUGCCGAAGCAAACGCGUUAAGUAUCCCGCCUGGGGACUACGACCGCAAGGUUAAAACUCAAAGGAAUUGACGGGGACCCGCACAAGCGGUGGAGCAUGUGGUUUAAUUCGAAGCAACGCGCAGAACCUUACCAGCCUUUGACAUGUCCGGUUUGGGGACCAGAGAUGGACCCCGUUAGUUCGGCUGGCCGGAACACAGGUGCUGCAUGGCUGUCGUCAGCUCGUGUCGUGAGAUGUUGGGUUAAGUCCCGCAACGAGCGCAACCCUCGCCCCUAGUUGCCAUCAUUCAGUUGGGCACUCUAGGGGGACUGCCGGUGAUAAGCCGAGAGGAAGGUGGGGAUGACGUCAAGUCCUCAUGGCCCUUACGGGCUGGGCUACACACGUGCUACAAUGGCGGUGACAAUGGGCAGCGAAGGGGCGACCUGGAGCCAAUCCCAAAAAGCCGUCUCAGUUCGGAUUGCACUCUGCAACUCGAGUGCAUGAAGGCGGAAUCGCUAGUAAUCGUGGAUCAGCAUGCCACGGUGAAUACGUUCCCGGGCCU